rnacentral:rRNA from 1 species
GGUCGGUUCGGCCGGGUUUCACACAGGUGUUGCAUGGCUGUCGUCAGCUCGUGUCGUGAGAUGUUGGGUUAAGUCCCGCAACGAGCGCAACCCUCAUCCUUAGUUACCAUCAGGUAAUGCUGGGGACUUUAAGGAAACUGCCAGUGAUAAACUGGAGGAAGGUGGGGAUGAUGUCAAGUCAUCAUGGCCCUUAUGGAGUGGGCUACACACGUGCUACAAUGGUGGCUACAAUGGGCUGCAAAGUCGCGAGGCUAAGCUAAUCCCUUAAAAGCCAUCUCAGUUCGAAUUGUACUCUGCAACUCGAGUGCAUGAAGUUGGAAUCGCUAGUAAUCGUGGAUCAGCACGCCACGGUGAAUACGUUCUCGGGUCUUGUACACACUGCCCGUCACGCCAUGG